rnacentral:tRNA from 1 species
GGUGAGGGGGCCGAGAGGCUGACGGCGCCCCCCUGCUAAGGGAGUAUGCGGUCAAAAGCUGCAUCGGGGGUUCAAACCCCCGCCUCACCGCCA